CAUCAUCUUUCUCUUAAAGAAAGCAUGUCAAAAAGGAGAGAUUCCUGUGCUGUCUUGUUAGCUUUCUGCACCCCCUUGAUGCAAUGAGAUGGCUCAGUUUUCAUUGCCUGGUUCCUGUGGAAGGUGAGAGCGCUUCAAAGCUUUGUCCCCUAAUAUUGAGCAGUGGAGACCUUGUGGGAUCCAACGGUCCUGUUGUGCAAAUGACCCAGAUUGUUUGUUUGAACCUCAUUUACUCUUUUCUUGUGACUUACUCUACACAAGGAGGAAGAACUGCAUAUUUCUUAUGCAAGACUGAUGGUUCCUGGUUGUUUCAGUUGUUCUAAAGAAUUGCAUUCUCCUGCUCAACUGACCCUAAAACAUUCAUUGCUCUGUGGCUGAUUUAGUGUGCUUGCUUGCAUGCUUGAUAACAGCAUAAAUGCCAUGCUUAUGCACCCAUCUAUCUUGAAGUGCUGAGAAGAACCCAGAAUCCAUCAGAGCUGGCAGCUGCGCCUUAUGAGUCAACUGCAGGCUGGUCAAAGCCAUGCAAAUGGCUGGUGGGGCUGAGCCAAAGUGGAUUUCAAGUCAAAGGAAAACCUUCUGCUGAAGUGUUAGGGGCUUUACAUCAUUUCCUAUGUUACCAUGAAACCAAGAGGUUCUUCAGGAGUGUGAAGUCAUCAUCCUUAAACCUGCUUUGAAGAAAAAGAACAUGUCUGGAACUGUCCUCAAAUAAGUUACGGAACAAGUGGGAAGCCUUCAGACAUGAGGCCACUUAAUGCACUGAUAUACCACAAACUUAGAAGAGAAUUGUGAUGGCUGAACUGGAAGCACUGUUUGGUAUUGUGCCACUGAAAGUACGUUUGGUUCCUUCUUCCAAAGGAUUUACUUUAUUGCCUGUAUGUUUUGUCUGGUCCUCUGUUGCCUUACUGUCUCUUCAUUAUUCUUUUUUCAUUAUUAAAAGUGAGGAGGUCAGAAAUUACCCUUGUAAACUUUCAUGCAGAUUGAUUUUGGCUUGUGUGAUAAUUUUACAUUUGAGAAGCUUGACAGCAAGCACAUGUUGUCAGCACUGCAACGUGGAGCCAGUGUGUAAAUGCCGUGGAGCAGCAGGCAGCGCGAUCAAAGUUCAUCAGCAGAGCAGCUGCAGCAGGGUUUGGUUAUCCUGUUCUGUUAAUCUAUGCUGUGAAAUAUGUGGUGCUAGAAAUUCCUGCACAUUGUAUGUUGGGUGCAAUGGAAAGCUUGGGGUAAUUCAUGAGCAAAAAUUCUCCAUAUUGCUCUUGAUGCCUAAUAUUGUAUUUACUGACUUAUACUGAAACAUAAAACACACUGAUACAAGCCAGGACAGCUGUGGAGCAUCACAUGUCCAGAAGGGAUUUAAUCCAAGCUUAAAAAGAACAAGCACUUAUUUUUUAAAGUAUUUUCUUCUAUUUAAGUAUUUCUGGUGGUUAAAUUGGGGAAUAUUCUACUGAACUACUCAUAUGAGAUGUGAAAGUUGCUUGAAAUGUUGAAGUGUGAAAGUAUCCCAAUUCCUGAUCUUCCAGAUGCUGAAGCAUGUGAAUAUUUUGACUUAUAAAUAGAAUUUGAGUUGAAUUCACUUCUUUUAGACUGAGUGUCUGAAGUAUGCAGAUUUGCAGUGAGCUUGGGUGAUGCUGUUUGGUGUUAAUAUGGCAGGUGAAGUAUUUGUGCUCCUCUGUGUGGUUUGUUAAAUAAAGGCAUCAGGGGCACUUUUUUGUUUCUUG